CAGCUGUACCCAAGCCUUUGGAACCAUCUCCACCUUUCUGCUGCUCUCCUGCUCCAGGCCAACAGCAGACGCUGCACAUAUCCGAGAUCACUUGGAUUGGCGGUGUCUCUAACUCCUCACACGUCACACUUGAAGUGAAUGGCACGGCAGAAACCUACGAACUGGCCCUGAACAAGACGGAGUCGCAGCUGGAGGAGUGCGUGACCCCUGACGGAGAUCACGGGCAGUGCCGCCACCUGGCCAACUGCGUGCUGCCCAACUUCACUGGCAGCCUGGAUGACUUCCUGCCCUACCUCUGUGUCGUCGA